rnacentral:rRNA from 1 species
AAGGCAGCCCCCUGGGCCAAUACUGACGCUCAUGCACGAAAGCGUGGGGAGCAAACAGGAUUAGAUACCCUGGUAGUCCACGCCCUAAACGAUGUCAACUAGUUGUUGGGGAUUCAUUUCCUUAGUAACGUAGCUAACGCGUGAAGUUGACCGCCUGGGGAGUACGGUCGCAAGAUUAAUACUCAAAGGAAUUGACGGGGGCCCGCACAAGUGGUGGAUGAUUUGGAUUAAUCGUAUGCAACGCGAAAAACCUUACCUACCCUUGACAUGGUCGGAAUCCUGCUGAGAGGUGGGGUGCUCGAAAGAGUACCGGCGCACAGGUGCUGCAUGGCUGUCGUCAGCUCGUGUUUUGAGAUGUUGGGUUAAUGUCCGCAACGAGCGCAACCCUUGUCCUUAGUUGCUACGCAAGGCUACUCUAAGGAGACUGCCGGUGACAAACCGGAGGAAGGUGGGGAUGACGUCAAGUCCUCAUGGCCCUUAUGGGUAGGGCUUCACACGUCAUACAAUGGUCGGAACAGUAGGUUGCCAACCCGCGAGGGGGAGCUAAUCCCAGAAAACCGAUCGUAGUCCGGA